rnacentral:rRNA from 1 species
AUUGAACGCUGGCGGCAGGCUUAACACAUGCAAGUCGAGCGGGGUGAUGGUGCUUGCACUAUCACUUAGCGGCGGACGGGUGAGUAAUGCUUAGGAAUCUGCCUAUUAGUGGGGGACAACAUCUCGAAAGGGAUGCUAAUACCGCAUACGUCCUACGGGAGAAAGCAGGGGAUCACUUGUGACCUUGCGCUAAUAGAUGAGCCUAAGUCGGAUUAGCUAGUUGGUGGGGUAAAGGCCUACCAAGGCGACGAUCUGUAGCGGGUCUGAGAGGAUGAUCCGCCACACUGGGAGUGAGCCACGGCCCAGACUCCUACGGGAGGCAGCAGUGGGGAAUAUUGGACAAUGGGGGGAACCCUGAGCUAGCCAUGCCGCGUGUGUGAAGAAGGCCUUAUGGUUGUAAAGCACUUUAAGCGAGGAGGAGGCUCUUUUGGUUAAUACCCAAGAUGAGUGGACGUUACUCGCAGAAUAAGCACCGGCUAACUCUGUGCCAGCCGCCGCCGUAA